GACGAACGCUGGCGGCGUGCUUAACACAUGCAAGUCGAACGGAAAGGCCCUGCUUUUGUGGGGUGCUCGAGUGGCGAACGGGUGAGUAACACGUGAGUAACCUGCCCUUGACUUUGGGAUAACUUCAGGAAACUGGGGCUAAUACCGGAUAGGAGCUCCUGCUGCAUGGUGGGGGUUGGAAAGUUUCGGCGGUUGGGGAUGGACUCGCGGCUUAUCAGCUUGUUGGUGGGGUAGUGGCUUACCAAGGCUUUGACGGGUAGCCGGCCUGAGAGGGUGACCGGCCACAUUGGGACUGAGAUACGGCCCAGACUCCUACGGGAGGCAGCAGUGGGGAAUAUUGCACAAUGGGCGGAAGCCUGAUGCAGCAACGCCGCGUGCGGGAUGACGGCCUUCGGGUUGUAAACCGCUUUCGCCUGUGACGAAGCGUGAGUGACGGUAAUGGGUAAAGAAGCACCGGCUAACUACGUGCCAGCAGCCGCGGUGAUACGUAGGGUGCGAGCGUUGUCCGGAUUUAUUGGGCGUAAAGGGCUCGUAGGUGGUUGAUCGCGUCGGAAGUGUAAUCUUGGGGCUUAACCCUGAGCGUGCUUUCGAUACGGGUUGACUUGAGGAAGGUAGGGGAGAAUGGAAUUCCUGGUGGAGCGGUGGAAUGCGCAGAUAUCAGGAGGAACACCAGUGGCGAAGGCGGUUCUCUGGGCCUUUCCUGACGCUGAGGAGCGAAAGCGUGGGGAGCGAACAGGCUUAGAUACCCUGGUAGUCCACGCUGUAAACGGUGGGUACUAGGUGUGGGGUCCAUUCCACGGGUUCCGUGCCGUAGCUAACGCUUUAAGUACCCCGCCUGGGGAGUACGGCCGCAAGGCUAAAACUCAAAGGAAUUGACGGGGCCCCGCACAAGCGGCGGAGCAUGCGGAUUAAUUCGAUGCAACGCGUAGAACCUUACCUGGGUUUGACAUGGAUCGGGAGUGCUCAGAGAUGGGUGUGCCUCUUUUGGGGUCGGUUCACAGGUGGUGCAUGGCUGUCGUCAGCUCGUGUCGUGAGAUGUUGGGUUAAGUCCCGCAACGAGCGCAACCCUUGUUCACUGUUGCUAGCACGUUAUGGUGGGGACUCAGUGGAGACCGCCGGGGUCAACUCGGAGGAAGGUGGGGAUGACGUCAAGUCAUCAUGCCCCUUAUGUCCAGGGCUUCACGCAUGCUACAAUGGCUGGUACAGAGAGUGGCGAGCCUGUGAGGGUGAGCGAAUCUCGGAAAGCCGGUCUCAGCUCGGAUUGGGGUCUGCAACUCGACCUCAUGAAGUCGGAGUCGCUAGUAAUCGCAGAUCAGCAACGCUGCGGUGAAUACGUUCCCGGG
rnacentral:rRNA from 1 species